rnacentral:rRNA from 1 species
GUUUGUUUGGAGCUUUAAAUAAUUUGGCCUGCCCCCUGAGCAAUAAAAAUUAAAGGGCCGCAGUAUUAUAACUGUGCAAAGGUAGCAUAAUCAUUAGGUUUUUAAUUAGGAUCUUGUAUGAAUGGUUGGACAAAAGGAGUACUCUCUUUAUAUUAAAUUUUGAAUUUAACUUUUAAGUGAAAAGGCUUAAAUAUUCUAAAGGGACGAUAAGACCCUGUAAAACUUUACAUUGUAAUUAUAUUUUAUUUAAAUUUAUAAAUAAAAGUUUACUAUAAUUAGUUGUUUUGUUGGGGAGACAUAAGUAAAAUAUUAUUUUAACUGUUUAAUAAUUAGAACAAUUAUAAAUGAUAAGUAGAAGAUCCUUUUUAAAGAUUAAUAAAUUAAGUUACUUUAGGGAUAACAGCGUAAUUUCUUUUAAGAGUUCGUAUCGAAAAAGGAGUUUGCGACCUCGAUGUUGAAUUAAAAAAUCUAUAUAAUGUAGGAGUUAUAUAAGAAGGUCUGUUCGACCUUUAAAAUUUUACAUGAUUUGAGUUCAAACCGGUGUGAG